UGAAAUAACCUUCAGAAUAUUUUGUAGUAUGCAUUAAGCAUCAUUCUUAUACUGAACAGUGUUCCCUUUGCAAAAAAAUACGUGGUCGCCUCAGACAUCUUGACUACACUAAUACUGGCAAUAUACCAGAGAGGAAUUUAACUUGCACGAAAUUUCCGAGUGUUUUCGUGACUAUGCAUUCAUAAUAUGAUGUGUUUACACAGAGCUGAAGCUUGGUCCCCUUUAAACAGAAACUUCCAGGAGAAAUGAAUGAAUGAUUAUGGUGGUUACCCUAAAAGAGAAACAAAAAAACACAAAAAAAAAAACAAACAAAGAAAAAAACAACCAACAACAACAUUCUUCUCGAUUCGAACCUACGGCCCGCAAUAUUCGAUAUUUCAAAGACUAAUGCUUAACCACUGAGCUACCGGGACUGACAGAGGUGUUGCAAUAAAAUAUACCUAAUAUUAUUGUUUAUGCAAGCUGCUUUACCUAUUUUGUUAGUUCUAUAAGUCCAGAAAACAAAAACAAACGUGACGUCACUCCGAAGUUAUCAUACACGGACUGUACAUUGCAAUUUUGUUUACAGCCGAAUUGUAAACACAAACAUAUUAUUUGUUUUAUCGCUUAAAAAGUAAUGACUUUAUAUAAAACUAUCAAAAUUCAGUAUUCCCCCGCGCCUGAUAACGUUAAGUUACUUUGGUAGCAUAUAACUCUGUUUUUUCUCAACGCUUUAAAUCGUUACCUUUAGAAACCAGUUCCGUGAACAAUGCGUUGUUAUGGAUUUCUGAACAACUCGUACACACACAGCAUUGAUGCUAAGCGUCCGUGGUGUUGACGAAUGUGGAGACCGAUGUACAUGUAACUACGCAAGUAUGUGCAAACAAUGGAACAUGUAUCAAUAAAUCGGACUUAGUAAACUGUAAGACCUUACUUGUAUAUUACUCAGUAACUUACAUGUUUUUUUUAAUAUAUAAAGUGUUAAACAUAUAAUAUUUUUUCUCUGAACGCCACUCUAAAAACUAACUGCUUCUCACAUGGUGAAAUAUAUUUUGACCUUCAACUGAAACAAAGAAAUGUUCUUCAAUACCCAUUUAUUAUGAACCUAAAUAAAUUCUUUAAAAUCGGAUUGUAUUUCACAAGUAAAUAUGAACAGCAGAAAAAAUUCCGGAUUGUAUCUGUUAUAUUCCGUAUUGUACCUUGUCGUAUUGUAUGCUGCCGGACUACUUUCAUUAAAAUGCAUGACUUGAUACAGUUUUAUAUAAACAGCGCACAUAAAAACUUCACUGAUUUUCAUUUUAAUAUCGGAAAACAUUGAAGAAUUCGUUCAAUAACAAAACAAGGUAGAGGUACUAAUCCCCAAUGAUAACGUGAUUCCCGCCGAAACGCGAGGACGAGUCAAAGUCAUGAUAACUGAUGAAAUAACCAUUCAUAAUGCUUGCACAUUACUUGACAAGCAAAUAUUAGUAUUUCUUUCAUUUUAAAUAUCCACUAAGUAUAUGGCAACAUAGCUCAGUUGGGUAAAAUGCAGACAAUAAUUGGGUGUAAGCAGAUCGUUUUGUGGGUUCGAAUCCUGAGGGUUUUUUUCCAGAAUUUUUUGUUGUUUUUCCUAUUCGUUUUCGUAUUCGUUUUCAUUUUUACUUCCGUAUUUUUGUUUCUUUCUUUGAUGGUUUGUUGUCGAGCACGCUUGCGGUGAGCUGAUACGGUCGCCACUUUCGGUAUAUGUGCGUGCGUGCGUCCGUCCGAUUUUGUCCGGAUCAUAACUUUGACAUGCAUAGACCAAUCUUGUUUAUAUUUCACAUUAAUGUUUAACUCAAUGAGAAGGCAUGUCAUGUGCAAACCCAUGUUCCUAUCUCAAAGGUCAAAUUGAAGUCUGUCCGGAGCAUUUCUCCUUCAUACAUAGGAUUUUGAUGUAACUUGGCAUGAAUGUUCACCAUUAUAAGACGGAGUGUCAUGCGUAAGAAGCAGGUACCUAGGUCCAAGGUCAAGGUCACACUUAGAGGUCAAAGGUGCUGGUGGGCUCGACAUUCUGCCCGUGGAGAUACUUGUAUUUGUAUAUAUGUCUUCAUAUAACACAAUAGUAUGUUCAUUAUUUGCAUUAAUCAAUAUCAUCUUUGUUAUAUAAUAAACUAUUCUGAUCUGCCAUGUCGCCUUUAGAUACCUCUCUGUCGUGUUGUCACAGAGCUCAUGAAGGAAUCUUAAUUUUUAUGCAAAAGUGAAAUAAAAAUUAAAAAAAUAAAUAAAUGUCGAUGCUGAGUUUCGAACCCACACGGCAUAGGAUCUGUUGAACAUGGACUGCAUGCUUUACCACUGAGCUAAUUCGUAACUGGUAUAAAAUCUAGAAAUAUUUAGAUUGUAACAUGUUAGGAAAAUGUUGAAUUCCCUAUGUUCCAUUUUAAUCUAUUUAUAGUCAUGUUUGUAAAUAUCAAGUUAUCGUUGGGGCAUAGUAUAUAAUAAAAGGGUCAUUAUAACAGUAGCUAGAUCUGAGAUUUUUUAUUAGGUUCUCGUGGAUUUUGGAAGGUCGGAUCACACGCGCCAAAAAUCCACUCGAGCCGAAUACAGCAUUCCAGAUCGAGCUACUGUUGUAAUAACCCUACUAUAUAUAUCGAUUUAACUCGUAGAUCUACAUCCAGUUGCAUGAACAAGCUUAGAUUUAAAGAUGUUCCUUAGAAUUAGAAAUGAUAAAAUGAGCUGUUGUGCAGUAGUAAAGCAACAAAGAACCCAAAAUAAAGGCCAGUCAUUUACAAUCGCAACAUCUAUGUUUGUAAGAAAGAUUGAUAUAAACGUAAAACAAAAGUCUUAUUUAUUAACUAUUAAGAUACGCUAAAACGAAACAUUUGACUUUUUCUGCAAAAUAUGUUAGGAUAAUUUUCAGGUUUAUAUUACUAUAAUAUUGUUAUAAGGGACAAGAGUGCUGCGGCUUUCAGCGUUGUAUACCAGCUGGAGCUGUAUGCUGUGGCACCCUCUUCUAUUGUCUGAGUGGCGAAACUUGCUGCGGGACAAUGUUUUGUAGAGCAGCGGGAAGUUUCUGUGAUGGUAAAGGGAAUUACGUUUAUGAUGAGUACCCAAAUAAUUCAAAAACAGAUGAUGCUCACAUUUCAUACCGGUUUAGUAACCUUGGUGUCGCUAAAUGAUUUACUUCCAAACAGUUCAACCCGGAAGCCGUCGACCACAGCAAGAACACCAUCAAGAACGAGAUAUCCAACAUUUAAGACGACGAGAAGGUUCAAUGAUUAUACAACCAAGAGUUCAUUCCGACGAACAUCAUCUACAAGUACGUUCAAAUGGUGGUAUGGUGUCGUAGCGAGCGCUGCUCUAAUAACUUUUGCAAUCGUCAUCGCUGCUGUCAUAUGGAAUCGCAGACACUGUGUAUCAAAUGUGCCAGGUCAGUCCGGUAGAGGUGCAAUGGUUCUAAGCGCUCCAGUGCAGGUCUAUGGAUAUCCACCUGUAAAAACAUGCAUAAAAUGACACCAAAUACAGGUGUAACGAUACAUACAAAUAGACAACCACCAAAGCCAAACGCGGCAUUCUUGGUAACAAAGAAACGCAUUCCGGCACAGACAAAUAGAAAACCGCCAAACCAAGGCACGGUUUUUGUGAUUACAUGAUCAUCUGAAGUCAUGACUGUAAUUGAAACGAAUCUCCAGUGCAUGUUGUGCCAAUACUUUUAUCAUGCGCCUCCUUUGGGCGACAUAUAUGAAUUGCAGCUUGUAUGUGUGACAUAUAUCAUGUACAAGGUAAUUAUCCCAGACAAUUACUGUUAAAGUAGUAGAAAAUUUUACGGCAUUAGAUACAGACAAAUAUAACAAGACAUAGGACACUUGGUGUCAUACCACACGUUUUUGGGACGUACCUGUUCCUUGAAUUUUGUCCUUGUUUUAAAGCAGUUCUAGCAAAUGUUGUUACACCUCCAUUAUAAUCUAGUUUUGGCCAUCACAUCUUAAGUGAGAAGAUUUUUACUUUCUGAUAGUCGUCUCUAUCAAGUUUUGGCAUGAUCCCUUGCGUUUUCCUAACCAGCGGUCAUUUUCCGCCGCAUUAGUAAAUUUCACAGAAUCAUGAACUGUGUUGCCAACAAAUAUUUUAGCUAUUAGUUUCAUUUACAUGCUAUUGCAUUCAUAAACUAACGGUAAAUUACCUUCUGUUAUACUUAUUAAAAUAAAAUAUAUAGAAAAUAAUAUAAACAUUUAAAAAAAAAAACGGUUUCCUUUUCCUCGGUUGCGGACAGAGUAACAUAUUGAAAUUGUUGUAUUACUUGCAUUGCAACUUUAAUAAUAAUUAAAAGAUAAUCAGUUAAGUUAAAGAUUGUCUGUAGUAUAAAUAUUACGAAGUUAUCGUAUAUCAUAUAUUUGGCUAGCUUUUUAAUCUGAUGAAUUUCAGCUCAAAAAUCCAAUCCAAGCAAUGUACAAAAAUCAUAGAUCUAUUUUUAACUAGUCGGGGGCUUUCCUAUAUAAAAUAGAUCUAUUUCGAAACGCUGUUUUUAGUAUGCUAGACAGAAGGGGGAAACAAAUCAACAAGUUCCUGGCUUACUCGCCUUUUACUGAUGUUUAAUUAAUUGACCAGUACUACAUUUUUUGUGUGUGAUAAAUUGUCCCGUUCACAAAUGUUAAGGUUUACUCAUGAAAUAAGGUCAUGUUUUGUUUAAUGUUUAUAACAUACUUUGUGUAAGCAGGUCAAAUAAACAACCGUACUGUUCAACUAACGCUGCUGACCUUCGACCAGCUGCAACUGAUUAAGUGGGGCAUACAUUUUUAACUAUGACAGUUUAUCGAUCUAUUGUGACGUAUGAAUGUAUUAGAGUAACAAACUUUACUAUUUUUAUAUGUUUUACGUUUCACUAUAUGUAUAUAUUUUUGAUAUUUUCUACAGUGUUGCUAACUAUACUUUUACAUAAAUCAAUCAUGUUGUUAUCAUUGCAAAAGUGUCAAUGGGAAUAUUACAAUUGCCGUAUCAUGAAUUAUUUUGAAUUUUAAAGUUAUAAAGAAUAAAAUGUAAAUAUAGCAAAUGUGCUGUGAUGGUGUGAAGCAUACGUAGUUUUAAGGACAUGAUUCAAUGAUCUUCAACUAUACUUUUAUCAAGUUUCUGUGUUAAGAUAUGGGAUCUACUUUCCAGAUUUUUAAUUACACGUGUAAUAGUGUGCCUCCUUUUUGUGAUCCUGUACUUAUUGUUACUAUGAUUAUUAACAUUAUCAUUUUAAAUAAUGUUUAUAAUCUUACUAUGUAUUAAGUAUAACCACUUCUAAUUUUUGGCACAAUAUACUUCAGUACUUUAGAUAUACAUUUGUGUAUACAUUAUAAUUAUAGCCUAUUGUACAUUGUAAUUUGAAAUGUUUGUAAGGUAACGUCAUCUUUUAUGACGUCAUAUAUUCAUGACGUUGUUUUUUUCAUAUCAUAUAUGUUGACUUCCUGAUGACGACAUAAUAAAUUGU